CUUCUGACAUCCUCACAAUAACUGCAAGCAAGCUAAUAUUUUCAGAGAAAGUUAUUUCAUUCUUUUUUAUCUAGGUUGAAGAAUAUAAAAUGAACCCUCUUUCCAAGCUCUAGAAUCCCCACUGUUGAUAGUGGUUGAUUUUGCAUAAAGAUUACAGAUAGGCUGGCAAACAAACAUCACUAAACAAUGGAGAGUCUAAGGCUGGCUAUUAAGAGUUUGAUCUGACUACAGAAAAAGACCCAAAUCUGUUCCAAGUGACCAGGCUCAUUAGAACACUGAAGACAUGAACAGCAAUAUGAAGAAUUUACACUUGUUUAGAAGUCACACAAGAAAUAGAAUUUAUUCAGUUCUUCACUUCCCCAAGUACAGUUUUGUUGGCUUCAAGGGGUUGUUCCCAAAUUACAUUGGUGUCAGGCUGGAAUGAAAUCAACUCAGUUCAAGCACCCCAAACAUCAUUCUCACCUGCAAAACAUCACUGGCUUCCACCACUCUCAAAGGUAAGCAGCAGAUUUUUACCUUCCAUUGCUUCUGGUGCUUCUAUACCUGCAUUAACAAAGAAUAUUUCUGUCUCAAGCUGGUAUAUAUUAU
rnacentral:lncRNA from 1 species